UACGGGGGGGGCAAGCGUUGUUCGGAAUUACUGGGCGUAAAGGGCUCGUAGGCGGCCAACUAAGUCGGAUGUGAAAUCCCCAGGCUUAACUUGGGAACUGCAUCCGAUACUGGAUGGCUUGAAUCCGGGAGAGGGAUGCGGAAUUCCAGGUGUAGCGGUGAAAUGCGUAGAUAUCGGGAGGAACACCGGUGGCGAAGGCGGUUCUCUGGGCCUGUGCUGACGCUGAGGAGCGAAAGCGUGGGGAGCGAACAGG
rnacentral:rRNA from 1 species